rnacentral:rRNA from 1 species
AUUGAACGCUGGCGGCAGGCCUAACACAUGCAAGUCGAACGGUAACAGGAAGAAGCUUGCUUCUUUGCUGACGAGUGGCGGACGGGUGAGUAAUGUCUGGGAAACUGCCUGAUGGAGGGGGAUAACUACUGGAAACGGUAGCUAAUACCGCAUAACGUCGCAAGACCAAAGAGGGGGACCUUCGGGCCUCUUGCCAUCGGAUGUGCCCAGAUGGGAUUAGCUAGUAGGUGGGGUAACGGCUCACCUAGGCGACGAUCCCUAGCUGGUCUGAGAGGAUGACCAGCCACACUGGAACUGAGACAUGGUCCAGACUCCUACGGGAGGCAGCAGUGGGGAAUAUUGCACAAAGGGCGCAAGCCUGAUGCAGCCAUGCCGCGUGUAUGAAGAAGGCCUUCGGGUUGUAAAGUACUUUCAGCGGGGAGGAAGGGAGUAAAGUUAAUACCUUUGCUCAUUGACGUUACCCGCAGAAGAAGCACCGGCUAACUCCGUG